rnacentral:rRNA from 1 species
ACUAUCGUUAACUGAAUACAUAGGUUAACGAGGCGAACCGGGGGAACUGAAACAUCUAAGUACCCCGAGGAAAAGAAAUCAACCGAGAUUCCCCCAGUAGCGGCGAGCGAACGGGGAGCAGCCCAGAGUCUGAAUCAGCUUGUGUGUUAGUGGAACGGUCUGGAAAGUCCGACGGUACAGGGUGAUAGUCCCGUACACCAAAAUGCACAGGCUGUGAACUCGAAGAGUAGGGCGGGACACGUGGUAUCCUGUCUGAAUAUGGGGGGACCAUCCUCCAAGGCUAAAUACUCCUGACUGACCGAUAGUGAACCAGUACCGUGAGGGAAAGGCGAAAAGAACCCCGGCGAGGGGAGUGAAAAAGAACCUGAAACCGUGUACGUACAAGCAGUGGGAGCACCUUUAGGUGUGACUGCGUACCUUUUGUAUAAUGGGUCAGCGACUUAUAUUCUGUAGCAAGGUUAACCGUAUAGGGGAGCCGCAGGGAAACCGAGUCUUAACUGGGCGUUAAGUUGCAGGGUAUAGACCCGAAACCCGGUGAUCUAGCCAUGGGCAGGUUGAAGGUUGGGUAACACUAACUGGAGGACCGAACCGACUAAUGUUGAAAAAUUAGCGGAUGACUUGUGGCUGGGGGUGAAAGGCCAAUCAAACCGGGAGAUAGCUGGUUCUCCCCGAAAGCUAUUUAGGUAGCGCCUCGUGAACUCAUCUUCGGGGGUAGAGCACUGUUUCGGCUAGGGGGUCAUCCCGACUUACCAACCCGAUGCAAACUACGAAUACCGAAGAAUGUUAUCACGGGAGACACACGGCGGGUGCUAACGUCCGUCGUGAAGAGGGAAACAACCCAGACCGCCAGCUAAGGUCCCAAAGUCAUGGUUAAGUGGGAAACGAUGUGGGAAGGCACAGACAGCCAGGAUGUUGGCUUAGAAGCAGCCAUCAUUUAAAGAAAGCGUAAUAGCUCACUGGUCGAGUCGGCCUGCGCGGAAGAUGUAACGGGGCUAAACCAUGCACCGAAGCUGCGGCAGCGACACUAUGUGUUGUUGGGUAGGGGAGCGUUCUGUAAGCCUGCGAAGGUGACCUGUGAGGGUUGCUGGAGGUAUCAGAAGUGCGAAUGCUGACAUAAGUAACGAUAAAGCGGGUGAAAAGCCCGCUCGCCGGAAGACCAAGGGUUCCUGUCCAACGUUAAUCGGGGCAGGGUGAGUCGACCCCUAAGGCGAGGCCGAAAGGCGUAGUCGAUGGGAAACAGGUUAAUAUUCCUGUACUUGGUGUUACUGCGAAGGGGGGACGGAGAAGGCUAUGUUAGCCGGGCGACGGUUGUCCCGGUUUAAGCAUGUAGGCUGGUUAUCCAGGCAAAUCCGGAUAAUCAAGGCUGAGGUGUGAUGACGAGGCACUACGGUGCUGAAGUAACAAAUGCCCUGCUUCCAGGAAAAGCCUCUAAGCAUCAGGUAACAUCAAAUCGUACCCCAAACCGACACAGGUGGUCAGGUAGAGAAUACCAAGGCGCUUGAGAGAACUCGGGUGAAGGAACUAGGCAAAAUGGUGCCGUAACUUCGGGAGAAGGCACGCUGGUGUGUAGGUGAAGCCCCUGCGGGUGGAGCUGAGACCAGUCGAAGAUACCAGCUGGCUGCAACUGUUUAUUAAAAACACAGCACUGUGCAAACACGAAAGUGGACGUAUACGGUGUGACGCCUGCCCGGUGCCGGAAGGUUAAUUGAUGGGGUUAUCCGUAAGGAGAAGCUCUUGAUCGAAGCCCCGGUAAACGGCGGCCGUAACUAUAACGGUCCUAAGGUAGCGAAAUUCCUUGUCGGGUAAGUUCCGACCUGCACGAAUGGCGUAAUGAUGGCCAGGCUGUCUCCACCCGAGACUCAGUGAAAUUGAACUCGCUGUGAAGAUGCAGUGUACCCGCGGCAAGACGGAAAGACCCCGUGAACCUUUACUAUAGCUUGACACUGAACAUUGAGCCUUGAUGUGUAGGAUAGGUGGGAGGCUUUGAAGCGUGGACGCCAGUCUGCGUGGAGCCAACCUUGAAAUACCACCCUUUAAUGUUUGAUGUUCUAACGUUGGCCCCUUAUCGGGGUUGCGGACAGUGUCUGGUGGGUAGUUUGACUGGGGCGGUCUCCUCCCAAAGCGUAACGGAGGAGCACGAAGGUUAGCUAAUCCUGGUCGGACAUCAGGAGGUUAGUGCAAUGGCAUAAGCUAGCUUGACUGCGAGCGUGACGGCGCGAGCAGGUGCGAAAGCAGGUCAUAGUGAUCCGGUGGUUCUGAAUGGAAGGGCCAUCGCUCAACGGAUAAAAGGUACUCCGGGGAUAACAGGCUGAUACCGCCCAAGAGUUCAUAUCGACGGCGGUGUUUGGCACCUCGAUGUCGGCUCAUCACAUCCUGGGGCUGAAGUAGGUCCCAAGGGUAUGGCUGUUCGCCAUUUAAAGUGGUACGCGAGCUGGGUUUAGAACGUCGUGAGACAGUUCGGUCCCUAUCUGCCGUGGGCGCUGGAGAAUUGAGGGGGGCUGCUCCUAGUACGAGAGGACCGGAGUGGACGCAUCACUGGUGUUCGGGUUGUCAUGCCAAUGGCACUGCCCGGUAGCUAAAUGCGGAAGAGAUAAGUGCUGAAAGCAUCUAAGCACGAAACUUGCCCCGAGAUGAGUUCUCCCUGAGACUUUAAGUCUCCUGAAGGAACGUUAAAGACGAUGACGUUGAUAGGCCGGGUGUGUAAGCGCAGCGAUGCGUUGAGCUAACCGGUACUAAUGAACCGUGAGGCUUAACC